rnacentral:rRNA from 1 species
UCUUACCUAAAAUUGCCAGGGUAGUAAAAGAUAUUCUUCAAACCCAAAGAAUUUGGCGGCAUUUCAUUCUCCCCAGAGGAACCUGCUCCUUAAUCGACAAUCCCCGCUAUACCUUACCUUUUCUUCUUAAGCCUGUAUACCGCCGUUGCCAGAUAAUUUUUACAAAAUAUUAUCUUCACUGAGACUCUCAUAGACUUCAGGUCAAGGUGCAGCCAAUGAAAAGGUGGAAGUGGGUUACAAUAAUACUUAAUUACACAGAAAAUCUCAUGAAACAAGAUUAGAAGGUGGAUUUGGCAGUAAAUUUUACUCAGAAAAUAAAAUUGAAAAGAGCUCUGAAAUGUGC